rnacentral:rRNA from 1 species
AAAAAAAAGAGUUUGAUCGUGGCUCAGAAUCAACGCUGGCGGCGUGCCUAACACAUGCAAGUCGAACGCGAAAGUGGAGCAAUCCAUGAGUAGAGUGGCAAACGGGUGAGUAACACGUGGGUGACCUGCCCUCGAGUGGGGGAUAACGUUCCGAAAGGGACGCUAAUACCGCAUAACAUCCUGUCUUUUAAGAGAUGGACAUCAAAGUCUGGGACCGCAAGGCCAGACGCUUGAAGAGGGGCCCGCGCCUGAUUAGCUAGUUGGUGGGGUAAUGGCUCACCAAGGCAACGAUCAGUAUCCGGCCUGAGAGGGCGGACGGACACACUGGGACUGAGACACGGCCCAGACUCCUACGGGAGGCAGCAGUGGGGAAUUGUUCGCAAUGGGCGCAAGCCUGACGACGCAACGCCGCGUCGGAGGAUGAAGAUCUUCGGGUCGUAAACUCCUUUCGAUCGAGACGAAUGGCUUCUGGGUUAACAGCCUGGAAGAAUGACGGUACCGAGAGAAGAAG